UACAGAGGGUGCAAGCGUUAAUCGGAAUUACUGGGCGUAAAGCGUGCGUAGGCGGUCCAUUAAGUCGGAUGUGAAAUCCCUGGGCUUAACCUGGGAACUGCAGUCGAUACUGGUGGACUAGAGUACGGUAGAGGGUGGCGGAACUCCGGGUGUAGCGGUGAAAUGCGUAGAUAUCCGGAGGAACACCGGUGGCGAAGGCGGCAUCCUGGACCAAUUCUGACGCUGAGGAGCGAAAGCCAGGGGAGCAAACGGG
rnacentral:rRNA from 1 species